AUGUUUCCCUGGCAGGGGAGAUUUAGCCAUGAUUACUAAGGGGACUUUUCCAGAGGGAGGUUGGUUCAUUGCUCUCCGAGUUCACUGACCUCUGCAAUUUCCCCACAGGUUCGACACUCGACUGCACAAUUUAUGGUAGUGAGGGAUUGCGUUCAUAGUUUUCCCUAA